rnacentral:lncRNA from 1 species
AUGCAAGAGCACAGUCAUAGCAGGCCGGGGACUGGCAGGAGGGAGCGCGGAGUGAAGGGCGCACGAUUUCGGUGCGUGGAGUGUGGAUGGAACCUGUCAAACAGGCUGGCUAUGGCGGACCACAAGAGACGACACCAGGAGUCUCGUCAAAAGAUCCUGGAGGAGAUUGGGAAGCUGAGUGACAGUGGGAAAGGAGAGACUACGCAAGGUGAACCGAGCAAGGUGACCAAACCUGCAAGCCCAGUCCUAGAACCAUUUGUAGCUCUAGUCACGACUCCAGCUCCAGCUCCAGCUCCAUUCACAGAGCCAGAUCCAGUUCCAGUCCGGACCCCAGUCAAAGCUCGAGCCAAAACUCCAGUCAAAGCAAAGGUCAAAGGCCCAGCCAAUCGUCGCUAUCUCUGCCUCAAGUGUGACUUCAGUACACGCACCUCACAGGCAUUGGCCAACCACGCCAAGACCCACAACAGAAAACCUACUGGUCUGCAGCGAGCCUCUCCGCGCUUUCAGCCAAAGCUCACUCCUAUGGAGCCGCCUGUGUCACCUGGAUCUGCCUCUGGCCUGACCUCCAUCUCUCUCACUUGUGAUCAGUGUGCCUUCCAGGCCUCCAGUCAAACUGCCCUGAAGGAGCACCAACACGUGGGUCACCCCGCGCAGACCUCCAUCUGUGGGGAAGGGCCUGAAGAGAUGAACCGUCCAGGGUCCAGAAUUGAUGCUUCCUCUCCACCAUGUUCUGAUACGCUUUCUAAGCCUGUCUCUCCACCAGAGGGCCAAAGCCAAUCAAAGGCCAGUAAGUCUUCUUCUUCUAUUUGGAUCUCUGCUAUGGAGGACAGUGACACACUGCCCCAACCAUCAAACACUGCUACAGCUCCCCAGCGUAGAGAGUUAGCUUUUAAGACCAUCGGGAACAAGAGGGCAAAUCGGAGAGGGAAGGUGGGGACAGAACUCCUCUGGCCAAAUCCCAGACUGGACAGUGGGCCACCUGAGACCGAUGAUGCACAAAGCCAGGGCCAGAGCCCUGACCUGGCAACUGAUAUGAACCAAAAAGAGACUGAAUCACUUGUUGGAUCCAAACCGCUCACCAGGGCUCGAUCCCUCCGAGGUGAGACUAAGCUGCAGAACCUAUCCCCUCAAGCCUUCUCGAAUACAAAUGAAAGAAGCCAAUACCUUAGACUUUCUUUAGAGUCUCACCUAUUGCACUGCUCUCAUGCUAAUUCUAAAACAAACCUUUCACCAUUAAUGGUCUGA